rnacentral:sRNA from 1 species
AUGAGUGACUCCAAGGAACCAAGGGUGCAGCAGCUGGACCUCCUAGGUAAGGCUGAGUUGGAACUCUGGGAUCCUGGGUAAGGGGAAGGGAUGGCCCAGGCUCUGAGCUGAUGUCUGUCAAUUCAGAAGAAGAUCCAACAACCAGUGGCAUCAGACUUUUUCCAAGAGACUUUCAAUUCCAGCAGAUACAUGGCCACAAGAGCUCUACAGUUCCUUUUCUUCUUGACCCAGUGUACAAGGUCCCCAGCUCCCUAAGUCAGGAACAAUCCGAGCAAGACACAAUCUACCAGAAUCUGACCCAGAUUAAAGCUGCAGUGGGUGAGCUCUCAGAGAAAUCCAAGCUGCAGGAGAUCUACCAAGAGCUGACCCAGCUGAAGGCUGCAGUGGGUGAGUUGCCAGAGAAAUCCAAGCUGCAGGAGAUCUACCAGGAGCUGACCCAGCUGAAGGCUGCACUUGGUGAAUUGCCAGACCAGUCCAAGCAGCAGCAAAUCUAUCAAGAACUGACCGAUUUGAAGACUGCAUUUGGUGAGUUCCUGUACAUUGGGGGUCCUCGGGCCUGAGAUGGUCUCUGUGUGAUGUGACUUUACUUGAGUUACCAACACUGGCUGAGCCUCAGUUUCCUCCCCUGUGAAAUGAGAACAAAGGGUAACUGCGAUCAUUGCACUUGGUGUUCACAGUGGGCCAGGCACACAGUAGGCACUCAGUUCAACCAAUCCGCUGCCUUCUGUUCUGAGCUCUAAAGCUGCUACUUCUCCCAGUCUGGAGGAGAUGGAGCCAGGACUCCUGGGUUCUCCUGGGGAUCAGGGAGAGUCUUGGGAAGUAGGGAGAGGAAUGGUCUCUCCCCAUUCCAAACCAUCCACCCGACAUGGACAGUCAAGGAAGGGCUCUGAUUUUCAAGGGCUUGAAGGCUGGGCAGAUACGGGAAUAUGGACAACCUAAUCUGAGCCCAGCCCUGAUCAGCCUCCCCCAACAGAACGCCUGUGCUGCCACUGUCCCAAGGACUAGACAUUCUUCCAAGGAAACUGUUACUUCAUGUCUAACUCCCAGAGGAACUGGCACGACUCUGUCACCGCCUGCCAGGAAGUGAGGGCCCAGCUCGUCAUAAUCAAAAGUGCUGAGGAGCAGCUUCCAGCGGUACUGGAACAGUGGAGAACCCAACAAUAGCGGGAAUGAAGACUGUGCGGAAUUUAGUGGCAGUGGCUGGAACGACAAUCGAUGUAACGUUGACAAUUACUGGAUCUGCAAAAAGCCCGCAGCCUGCUUCAGAGAUGAAUAG